rnacentral:rRNA from 1 species
UACGAAGGGGGCUAGCGUUGCUCGGAAUCACUGGGCGUAAAGGGUGCGUAGGCGGGUCUUUAAGUCAGGGGUGAAAUCCUGGAGCUCAACUCCAGAACUGCCUCCGAUACUGAGAGUCUUCGAGUCCGGGAGAGGUGAGUGGAACUGCGAGUGUAGAGGUGAAAUUCGUAGAUAUUCGCAAGAACACCAGUGGCGAAGGCGGCUCACUGGCCCGGUACUGACGCUGAGGUGCGAAAGCGUGGGGAGCAAACAGG